GAUCAUGGCUCAGAUUGAACGCUGGCGGCAGGCUUGACACAUGCAAGUCGAACGGUAACAUAAAGAAGCUUGCUUCUUUGAUGACGAGUGGCGGACGGGUGAGUAAUGCUUGGGAAUCUAGCUUAUGGAGGGGGAUAACUAUGGGAAACUGUAGCUAAUACCGCGUAGAAUCGAGAGAUGAAAGUGUGGGACCUUCGGGCCACAUGCCAUAGGAUGAGCCCAAGUGGGA
rnacentral:rRNA from 1 species